rnacentral:rRNA from 1 species
AGUGAACGCUGGCGGUAGGCCUAACACAUGCAAGUCGAACGGCAGCACAGUAAGAGCUUGCUCUUACGGGUGGCGAGUGGCGGACGGGUGAGGAAUACAUCGGAAUCUACUUUUUCGUGGGGGAUAACGUAGGGAAACUUACGCUAAUACCGCAUACGACCUACGGGUGAAAGCAGGGGAUCUUCGGACCUUGCGCGAUUGAAUGAGCCGAUGUCGGAUUAGCUAGUUGGCGGGGUAAAGGCCCACCAAGGCGACGAUCCGUAGCUGGUCUGAGAGGAUGAUCAGCCACACUGGAACUGAGACACGGUCCAGACUCCUACGGGAGGCAGCAGUGGGGAAUAUUGGACAAUGGGCGCAAGCCUGAUCCAGCCAUACCGCGUGGGUGAAGAAGGCCUUCGGGUUGUAAAGCCCUUUUGUUGGGAAAGAAAAGCAGCAGGUUAAUACCCCGCCGUUCUGACGGUACCCAAAGAAUAAGCACCGGCUAACUUCGU